GAUGAACGCUAGCGGCAGGCUUAAUACAUGCAAGUCGAGGGGCAGCAGGGUGUAGCAAUACAUCGCUGGCGACCGGCAAACGGGUGCGGAACACGUACGCAACCUUCCUUCAAGCGAGGAAUAGCCCAGGGAAACUUGGAUUAAUACCUCGUAACAUUGUGAAGUGGCAUCACUUUAUAAUUAAAGCUCAGGCGCUUGAAGAUGGGCGUGCGACUGAUAGGUAGUUGGCGGAGUAACAGCCCACCAAGCCUGCGAUCAGUAACUGGUGUGAGAGCACGACCAGUCACACGGGCACUGAGACACGGGCCCGACUCCUACGGGAGGCAGCAGUAAGGAAUAUUGGUCAAUGGACGCAAGUCUGAGCCAGCCAUGCCGCGUGGAGGAUGAAGGUCCUCUGGAUUGUAAACUUUCUUUUAGUUUGGGAAAGAAACCCACGUUUUUCUAAUGUUGGUUGACGGUACCAGAUGAAUAGCACCGGCUAACU
rnacentral:rRNA from 1 species